UACGUAGGGUGCGAGCGUUGUCCGGAAUUACUGGGCGUAAAAGAGCUCGUAGGCGGUUUGUCGCGUCGUCCGUGAAAACUUGGGGCUCAACCCCAAGCUUGCGGGCGAUACGGGCAGACUUGAGUACUGCAGGGGAGACUGGAAUUCCUGGUGUAGCGGUGAAAUGCGUAGAUAUCAGGAGGAACACCGGUGGUGUAAACGCUUCUGGACCAUAACUGACACUGAGGCACGAAAGCGUGGGGAGCAAACAGG
rnacentral:rRNA from 1 species